CUACAGAGGUGAGCUCAGGGUACCCACCACAGGGAUGGCACGAUGGAGGGCAAGAUGCAGGGGUCAGGGGAAUGCUUGUGCAGGCGUAAUGAUCUGAAGUUGGGGAGGGAAAGAGCAUUCCAGCAGAAGGACCAUUAUGAGGAAAGGCAUCAUAUUGCUUGGGAUUCCUGCUCUGCUGCCUUGGGAAUUUCACUUAACAGACAUCUGGUCUCUCCAACUCUAGUUUAAGUGUCUUAAGAAUAAAG
rnacentral:lncRNA from 1 species